AACGGAGCUAUGAAAGGGCAUAUCUGCAUUCCUGCAGCGAUUCCAAAACAAUGACAAGAGUGGCCACUUGACUUAAGGGGAUUAUGGGAUGUUUCCGGAGGCCGAUCAGAGCGCAGUAAAGGAACAUCUCGUUCACACUGACGCCAGGGCAGUCCGGUGGGGGUGCAG